rnacentral:lncRNA from 1 species
UUCCUCUUCACCCAAAAAAAAGAAGAAGCAAAAGUGAAAAACAAAAAUGUCAAUUAUAUGAUAUGAGAAUUCAUUUGAGAUUUUGAUUAUAUGAAAUAAGAGAUCUCAUAUCCGAUAAAGAUUCACAAAGGGUAUGUCUUUUUGAAAUAAAAUUUUAAGAUUCUUAUUUUCAUUUGAUUAAUAAAGCUUUCAAAUAUAUGAAUAAUGUUUGGUGUUCGCAUGUUAUCACAUCUUUGAUCAUCUCUCUUUUUCAUGUUCUUUUGUAUUCUUCUUUAUUUUUAUUGUUAUCUGUUUUAGCUUAGAUACAUUAGAUCUAAAUAUAAAAAAGUUUGAUAAAAUAAAAUAUUAUUUAAACUUCAUAUGAAUCCUUUUACAGAAGAUUUGUUUUCCAGAUUUCCAAAGAACAAUGUUAUCACUACUAAGUUUUAUUGUUGAUAAAAUCUUAACUGACUAUAGGGAAAAGAAAAAAUCUCUCAGCUUGAGUAUAUUUGUAAAAUGACAUUAUUUUUUCAGCGUUCUCUUAUUUUAUUUGAUUUAUAACUAAGUUUAAUUUUAUAUGAUGGGAUGGAUGUACUUUGAUUUAUUUAGUUUUUUUCUAUCAAGUCAUCUGGUUAAAUAUUUAUAAUUUUUUUCUUCAUCUAGGGUAAAUUUGAAUCUAUUUUAGGUUAUGGAUUCAGUAAAUUUAUUUAUAUUCAUUUCUGGUUUUCUUUUUUUUAUGUAGGCUUCGGAUAUGUUCCACGAGAAUGUGUACACAAAUUUGAUUGCGUAAAGGAAGACCUUAAAGCCAGCCAUACAAAUAAAAAAUGUAAGUAUACAAAAGUAUUUAAAAGGUCUUAUUUAAUCUAAUUUAAAGUUUUAAAUUACAUAUAAUUUUGUUCCCAUCAAUGGUUUUACUUCGAUCAUCUCUAUAUACAUAUUUUGUUCUGUAUGAGCACGUUUAUCUUUUCAAUUUUCUUGUUUGAUUAGAGGAAUAACAUGAAAUACUUCUUUGAGGAAUUAUUUAUUCAAGACCUAUACCUCUUCAUUCUCUCGUAUCCGAAUCCCUCACCUUUUAAUGAGUUUGGAAAUGUCGAAGUAGUCCUUAUAAUUUUCUAUAGAAGAAAAUUGAAAAUAGAAAUUCGGCCAAUGAUAAUUAAGCGUUGAUGAACCAAUGAAAAGCAGUUUACCAAAUUUUGGCCAAUGAGAUAUAAGCACAACUAGCCAAUUAGAAACGAGCGUCUAGAAAAUUGACCAAUCAGGAGGGUGUACACGAAUAUUAGGCGCCAAAAAUUUAUCCAAUCAGGAAGAGAUCAGGAACAGGGCUUUGUGGACCAUCUUUAAACCAUCUUUGACCAGCUUCCUCUCCCAGCGAUCCCGACUAAGAGAACGAGAGAACGAGAGAUUGUCGAGUCCUUCUUGACAUUUUGCUGCACUGAUCCGACAUUGAAGGCUAAUCGAGGUAAUUGACAUUUUUGUGGUUGGAUUAUAUUACCUUGUUUUGAUUUUGGGUAGUCAUUGCCCUAGAACCACUAUUGGGGAUUAAAUUCGUUUAUUGAAUAGGAAAUUGUAGACUAUGGAAAUGGCGAUUGGUUGCUAAUCGGAUGGGUAUUUAGUGGAUUGUAGGUUUAGAUGUUAUACCGCAGUAAAUGGGAGUUAGAUUAGAGUAUUUUCCCGGAGUGAGAGGAGGACGAGAGAGAGUAACAAUUGGUAUCACUUGCGUACAACUGGAAACAACUGGAAACAUGGUAUCACUUGCGUACAACUGGAAAGUCCAAUUUUUAUGCAGUUGAGUAUGGUUUAUGUGUUAUUUUUCAGAUGAUAAUGAUUACGAACUAAUUUUUCGAUUACGGGGGAUAUUAUUAAACUUCAGAGGAUAAAUGGAUUUCAGCACCAGCUUCCAUGUAUGGUAUAAUGUUUAAGUCAUCAACUUUGGAGGAGAUUACUUAUUCUGGUUUAGUGGAUAAGAUAUGCACAAAGGUUGGGAUUGUCGAAUCUUCGAGUAAGCUGAAACGGAAUUAGAUUCUGGUACUAGUGCAAACUCAGAAACAAUUCUAUAUUUCGAAUGACGAUGACCUAGCUGUGUUCCUGACCUCAUUGGAUAAAGAGAGACGCAGAAGUAUUAUUCAUGUAGAGGUCAUCAAAGGUGUUGAAGUUGGAGAGGAAUUUUCAAGAGUUGAGAGGGUAAGUUCAGUUGGUAUCAAUUACGGGGGGGUUGCGUUUAGGUAAUGUUGGAUUAAAUAAUGGUGUACUUGCUAUUUACACAGGCAACUGUUCAGCAGAACAACAUCAACAGAAUGUCCCGGUGAUAGAGGAAGCUGAUGAUGAUGAUGUUGACGAGGGAAAGGAUUGUGAUGAUGUAACACGUGACAAUGAAGAUGGUGGUGAUGAUGUAUCACGUGACAAUGGAGUAAAUGUUGGCAAUGGAGUAGAUGAUGAUAAAGCAAUUUCAUAACGAGGAGAAAAAUACAGACGGUUUGAUUUUGAUGAUGGUCCCCGUGCUGAAGUAGAAACACAACAUUUUAAAUGGGAUGAUGGUAUGAAUCUGCGAGUAUGGCAACAAUUUGCAUGUAAACAAGAUUUGAUAGAUUUAUUGUAUAGAGCUUCAUAUCAGAAUUUGUUUGGUCUGAAUAUAAAGAAUUCAGAUAAGAAGUGAUACGUGGUGAUAUGCGGUGAAACGGGGUGUAAUUGGUAUUUACGAGCUUGGAAGGAUGCGAAUACACCCUGUUUUCUGUUACAGUAUAGCGGAAGAUGCAUAGUUGUUCUCGGACCAGUGCGAGUACAAACAGCAAACAAAGGAAAGGAACACCACGAUUAGUAGCAUCUGUUGUUAAAGAAGCGUAUCCAGGUCGAUUAGAUACACCAACUCCUGAUAUGCUCAAAGUUAAAUCCCUAAGCUACUCUGCAAGAGCACAGAUGUGCAAUUGUAGUAUCUAGGGGUCGAACAACAGAGACAAGAAGUCACUCAAUAAACCUUAUGUAGAUGGAGUUACGCUAAGUCGAAAUAUGCAGAACAAAUAACAAUGCAAGAGAAAUAAAUAAAGCAGCAAAGAAAACGGUUUGUAAAUUCGAUGUGAUAAGGAUUAGGUCUAGGGUGAUUUUCAGGAGAUCAAUGAAUGCAAAUCAACUUAACAAGUCAGGAUUCAGUUAUUAAGCACGGUUCUUGAACUCGAAACACAGAACCAUAAUUAACCAACUUCCGUUGUGAGAAUUAUCUAAGUUAAAAUCCUAUAAUUCCAAAUUCCUUUGUAAAUCCUACAGAUUUAAACCAGCCUUAAUGCACAAGUUCGAUAUGUUCACAAAGCUCCUAAACCAAAUUCCUUUGCGAAUAGUUACUUUGCUCAACUCAGGUUCUUUCCAGUUAUUCAAUUACACUUCCGUGUCAAUUAAGCAACCUAAGAUCUAAGUUCUAGGUGAUCAGUCUAGAAUUAGCUUUAAGAACAACCUAAGAUGAAGAACAAAUAGAUAUGAACCCUAACUAGCAAGUUAAUUGAUCAUUCAGAGAAAACCCUAAUUAACCCUAAACCUAACAGGUGUUCUACUCAGACAUGGUUAUUGAAACAACAAACAUGAUGAAUAGAAAGCAAUAGAAUAAAUCGAAAUAGAUAAAGGGGUUCGAAAUCUUCUCUCUAAACGAACAGAGUACAGACUUGUCUCCCCAAGCUCAGAAAUCGCAAAAGCUGAAAACUCAGAGUAUCUCUCUCUCUAACAUCUAAAGUGUGCGUAAAAAGGGAAAAAAAAUCCUAUAUAUAUCUCUAAAACACGUCUUGGGCUUCAUUGAAAACGUUUGGGCCCAACUCCUUCUUCAAAUAGGAAACAAAAUCGCCUUUUCCUUAUUUCUCUGACAAGUGUCGCGCGUCACUCUCCAUGGUGUCGAGCGUCACUAAAGCACAAAAUCCAUACUUGACGAAUUUGAUCCUGAUUAAGCUCCAAAGUGCUCCAAAGUCUCCAGUUAAGCUCCAGACGUACCUAUGACCUGAAAAGACUCCAAAAGACUCGAAAGACACUAAAAAGACUCUAUAAAUAAGACAUAUACCAUGGUUAAAAACCAUAAAAACCAUGAUAUAUCAACUCUCCCAGACUUAGCAUUUGCUUGCCCUCAAGCAAACAGAACACCAAAUAAGAGAAAGAAGUUUGAAAACACAGAGACUCAACCUUUCAUUGGAACAUCGCUUUUGACUGAUCACCCUGCAACUCAACUACUGCUUCAUCAUUCCAAAUCAAACCACCAUGUACUUCUCCGUAGACAUUCACAGCUUUCCAGAUUAAGUCCAAAAUUCCACAACAUGGUCCAUAAACCUUCAUCGCUGGAUCUCACUGAUGAUUCCAAUGCCCAGAACCUUCUAGAUUCUUUCCCAUUCUGUGCUCAAACAAAUCAGCCUUACAAACUUUGGUACCUUUUCUCUCCCCCAGACUUAUUCCUUUCGCACAUUCAUCAUCUCUUUUCUUAUGGCGCAUACUCGAUAAAGAUAAAGCUGCGAGUACUGAUGGUGUUUGCCACCAAGUCCCCGAGUUGUCCCCUUACCUUGUAUCAAAGGUUUUCAGCGAAUAGUGGGGUCAUGGGAAACAUUCCUACCCCUCACUUCCUUCCUUUGUGUGAUCAUUCCAACUUAGAAGUGAAAUAAUGGGAUCAUUGGAAACAUUCCUAGCCCUUCACUCCUAAGCGAAAAUCAUCUCAAUCUUUUUGCCCUUUUUCUUUCUUUCUUAGCUCGUCACAAGGGAGAGAAAUCACUUCAUUAAAUUUCACACAGGCUUUCAUUGAUCAAGUAAGAACGAGGAAUCAAGCUCUAAGACAUUAGUCACAUCAGCGAGUUAAAAGUGAAGUUCAGUACUUAGCUCAGGUUAGUGGAUUCUGUUGGAAACAUGGACGCCUCUAGUCAACUGGUCAGCCUUUGGAUUUUUCAUUAGUCGGAUCCAGACUGAAUCUGCAGCAGUGGUCACUUAGGUGAAAGGCCAGCACAAUAAUUCCAGGAAAAGCAUCAUGAUCUCCAACAAGUUUUGACUCAAAAACGUUUUGACACAACUGACUCUUAAGAAAAACAAACACAAUGUCAGCAACUACCUCCCCCAGACUUGAACAACACUGUCCCCAGUGUUAUCAAAUCCGAAGUUGGUGACAAAAGAGAAAGUCAGAAGGAAGAAUGCAACGGGUUAGAAUAUCUUACUACUCAGUUAGGUCGACCAACACACAGCUCAGAUUCAGAAGAAAACAAGCUUAGGUCGAAAGUGCAAGGAUGGUGACGCGCGAUACCAAAGAUGGUGUCGCUCGACACCAUAGUGCAGAGAGCAAUCGUCGCGAUCAUCUAUGUUAGCACUGUCAGAUCACUCAGAGAAAAGUUAGUAGGAACAAUACAACCCAUAGAUGCAUAAAUCCAACAAAGUCUCACAAGAGGUGUAGCUGACACAACAGACUCAAACAAACGAAAAUAAAAGAGAAGAAAAACAUAAGACAAGAAAACAGAACCAGAAUGACAAAGGAACUAGUCCUCAUCGCUAGUAGUAGCAUCAUCAAAGGGCGUGGGUGAGCGAGAUGGCGGGCGAGUAGGGCGAACACAUCCGCAGCGAGAGAGAGUAGCGAUGGCACUCCAGAUGCUCUGAAAACUCUGAAUGACAUACCGCUGGAAAGCAGCAACCUCCAUGGGAACCUCUGGCUCAGUGGGAAGAUCAGGGAGAGGUACUGUGGUGUCUGCGGAGCGAGGUAUCUGAUCGUCCUCGGAAAUGGAAGCACGAACUCUGGAAGAAGAACCGCGAGACACAGUAAUCAAGACUCUCCUCUCGGGCAUGAAACGAAGCGCAGCGCAUGUGGUGCCUAUGUCAGUGCGUGCACGAUCAGGGAGCUGAAUCCGGUAUGAACCAGCUGUAGUGCGAAAGGACCACUGAUUAUUGUGGUUAAUCCAGGAAGCGUGGCGUAGGUGAUUCAAAUCAAUAGCUCGGCGAGUCGUGACAAUGGUGCUGUUCUCCGUGCUGAUCCAAAAAUACUGGAAGAUAGGGGUCAGCAAGCUACCAACAGACUCAGUGCGCUGCGUCGUACCUGCUCCAGAGAAAGGCUUGGCUUGCAAAGAAACCAAGUGAUGAGCGAAAACAGCUCCCAUGUUGACAUCAGUAGCGUGCGCGGAAUUCCGGUAAUGCUCACCAUCUGUCAAAUCACCAAUGCCAACAUAAAGAAGAGCCAACUCAGAGAGACGCAUCUUACCCGGGGUCGACUUGCACUGAAUAGUGUUGCCCAGGACACGUAGAAGGCAUCGCAGAACAGGGUGGCGCACGUCGGUUUGGGACGUAGUCUUCGAAUAACGCCCAUUCCCAAAAUGGGACCAGAAAUCCUGCACAUCGAACAUCUGAGUAGGGAGGGUGACUCUCGGGAGAUCCUUGCGAAACCCAUAUAAGGCACAUAGGUCGCGAAAGGGGAGCCUGUAACGAACUCCGCGGAUCAUGAAAGUCAGAGUGCCCUCCUGCGCAUUUGGAGCAUGUUCAUUGGUGUAGUAGAUGCGAACAGAGGCGAGGAACUGACGAACAAGGUCAGGAAACAGAUCGUAGGGUCUGGUAGCCAUAGAUCCCAAUCCAAGCUUCGUCAACAAACGCAGGAGCUCAGAAUCCAAACCCAAACGCCUCAUAUCCAGAAUGUCCAAAAACCUGGUGGGGAGUAUCUUCACAUUGAGCCAGGCGUUGUAGAAGAAAGUGUCGUAAUCAUCCCAGUCAUCGGAAAUUGGCCUGUGUAGACACUCAACGCUCUCAGCAACAGCUCGAGGUGGCUCGUCCCAGAUCCUGCGUGUUGGAAUUCGCAGAUUCUCCCGUUUAGGCCAAGGGUGCCUAAUCCUCUCGUUAGGUGAAUCAGGGAUUGCAGGAGGCGAUGGUGGCGGUGAGGCGGAGGCUCGUGGUGGUGCAGCAGGGCGAAGAUGGGAAGUCGGGAACACCUGCAACUCCUGGGAGUCAAGGAAUGUGACCAUGUAACGAGAUUGUGCGAGUACAGCUUUGACGGUUGCACGUUGCCCUAAGUCACCAUCCAAAACCUCGACGUGGUCUCCGAGUUGGAAGGUUACUUCGACUGGAGGUUGCGAACUGGAGGCGGCGUCCCUGCAUUGUCGCUUGCGUGGAGGCAUCUGCAAAAGAGGAAACAGAGCAAACCAACAAAAGAAAAGAAUCUCAAGUCAGUGAACAAGUAAGUACAAGUGAUGUUCUCCAGCAAGUCGGAUCAGCGACAAGGAGGAGUCCAGCGACACAUGCAUACAGAAAUCUCCCUAAAACCACAACAAAUUUCACACUCUCAAAUUUUGAAGUGCAAUUGGCAUGAAGAACAAAAUUCUCAAAUCUAGCCAAAUGAACCGUUUAAAGCGCAUGGGGGUGGUCGAAAUCUGCCCUAAAUGGAUCGCCAUAGGUGAAAUCAAGCAAAGCAUCAACCCAAAAAGAGCAAUGUCGACAAACAAACCUGAGGCACCGAAAUCGAAAAAGUGGAGAUUCGAAUUGUGUACCUUGUUGGAAUGGCAAAUCGAUGAGAGAAAGAGAUAGAGGGCGAAAAUCGGAUGAGGUUAGGCUUUGGAAUCACUCAAAUCGGUGAAGAUUUGAGUAAUUUCGGUUGUGGUGAGGGUGGUUAUGGCGAAAGUGUCGAGUGCGGCGAGGAGGAAGGGAGGAAAAAGGUGUGAGGGUGAAGGUUUUAAAUAAACGUGGGAAAGAGAAGACUCACCUGUUUGUGAGUGACGGGCGACACCAAGGAUGGUGACGCGCGACACUUGCAAAGUGCGAAUGGUAUUUUCCUCGUACCCGAUCCGCUUCCGAUUCCCCUCCGGUUUUGGAAUUCCGGUUAAGCUAAGUCCGAAUUUUUUUUUUUUUUUUUUUUUUUUUUGAAUAGAGGAAACAAGUGACAAGCGACACCGAAGGUAGUGUCGCUCGACACCAGCCUCUGCUUCACCUAAAACACGAAAAGAAAAACGAAAAUCACUGAAACAAAAGACUUAUUUACAGACUCACCAGUGGAUUGUCUUCCACCAAGCGCUUGUUUAAAGUCAUUAGCUUGACUUGAUGGCGAUUCAGGCAGGAGGUGCACCAUCCAGAGGCACGAUAUGUCCAUCCGGAAUCUCAGCUUUGGCCCAGUAGUGCUUCACUCUUUGUCCAUUGACUAUGAACUCUCUGCUACCAUCUGGUGUGAGGAGGACGAGAGCACCAUAGGGGCGAACCUCUUUGACUAUGAAAGGACCUGACCAUCGAGAACGAAGUUUACCAGGAAACAAUUGCAAACGAGAGUUAUACAGAAGUACCUGAUCAUUUGGUUCGAAUUGCCUGGAGAGGAUUUUGGAAUCAUGAUACGCCUUGGUCCGCUCUUUGUACAGCUUCGAAUUCUCAUAGGCGUGGUAUCUGAUUUCGUCCAACUCAUUCAGCUGUAUCAGUCUCCUCUCUGCAGCAGACUUGAUGUCAAAAUUCAUCAGCUUUAUCGCCCAAGCUGCCUUGUGUUCGAUCUCCACUGGAAGGUGACAGGGCUUUCCAUAGAGCAGGUGGAAAGGUGUGGUGCCUAGAGGUGUUUUGAACGCUGUCCUGUACGCCCAGAGUGCAUCGUCCAACUUCGCAGCCCAAUCCUUUCGAGUUUUACCCACUGUCUUCUCCAGAAUCUCUUUGAUCUGACGAUUCGACACUUCGACUUGUCCACUUGUCUGAGGGUGAUAAGGAGUUGCAACUCGAUGAUGAACUCCAUGCUUCCUUAGGAGUUUUUCGAAAAUCUUGUUAAUAAAGUGAGAACCACCAUCACUUAUAACAAUUCGAGGCACUCCAAAUCGAGGAAAGAUGAUGGUCUUGAACAUCUUAAGGACCACUGAAGAAUCGUUGGUGGGACUGGCAAUGGCUUCGACCCACUUUGAGACAUAAUCAACAGCAACCAGGAUGUACUUGUUCCCAUAAGAAGAGGGAAAAGGACCCAUGAAAUCGAUACCCCAGCAGUCGAAUACCUCAACCUCAAGGAUGAAAUUCUGUGGCAUCUCAUGUCGUUUGCUGAUCUUUCCUCUCCUCUGACAAACAUCGCACUGCGAGAUGAAUGCAUGUGCGUCGCAAAACAUGGUAGGCCACCAGAAGCCUGCUUGAAGAACCUUAGACACUGUUUUGAAUGUUGCAAAGUGUCCAGCAUAUUCGGAUCCAUGACAAUGAAACAGCACUUCUGGAACUUCUGACUCUGCAAUGCAACUUCUGUAAAUCCCAUCAGAACAAUGCUUGUACAGAUAUGGCUCAUCCCAGUGGUAUCUUCGCAGCUCUCUCAGGAACUUCUUCUUUGCAUAGCCCUUAAAGUUCUCAGGCUCAGCCUCUGCAGCGAGAUAAUUGGCAAUAUCGGCAUACCAAGGGCGUUGGGUAGCGGAUACAGCAGCUGAACUGGUUUCAGGAAGUCUGUUUCGAAUUUGGGAGGUCUCUGUGUUCGCCUGAGAAAGGUGACGCGCGACACUAGUGGUGGUGUCGCUCGUCACUAACGUUCCUCCAACUCGAAAAACCUGCAAUUCUUCGUCAAAACUGCUCUGGAAUUUGGUUUCCACAUAAUACACAUUCUCUUCUGGCAGGAAAUCGUCUAUGGGUACGUAGUCUUCAACCCUGAUGCGUGAGAGAUGAUCUGCCACACCAUUCUCAACCCCCUUCUUGUCCUUGACCUCAAUAUCGAAUUCCUGAAGGAGUAAUACCCAUCGCAGCAACCUUGGCUUCGCAUCCUUCUUCUGCAUCAAGUAUUUGAGGGCAGAAUGGUCUGUGUGCACAAUCACCUUCGAUCCCACAAGGUAUGGCCGAAAUUUCUCAAAAGCAAAGACCACAGCCAACAGCUCCUUCUCAGUGGUAGCAUAAUUCCUUUGAGCAUCAUCCAGAGUUCGACUGGCAUAGUAGAUGGCAUGAAGCUUUGUACCCUUCUUCUGUCUUAGAACAGCACCAACAGCAAAAUCACUAGCAUCACACAUCACCUCAAAAGGUAAAUUCCAGUCAGGAGGCUGCACAAUGGGGGCGCUUAUCAGAGCAUGCUUGAUCUGUUCGAACGCAGCAAGGCACUCAUCUGUAAACUCAAACUUAGCAUCUUUGCAGAGCAGAGCAGUAAGAGGAUGUGCAAUCUUGCUGAAAUCCUUGAUGAAGCGACGAUAGAACCCUGCAUGACCCAGAAAACUUCUAACCGAUUUCGCAGAAUCAGGUGGUGGCAAGCUCGUCAUGACGUCAAUCUUCGCACGAUCCACUUCGAUGCCAGCUGCAGAAACUUUGUGUCCAAGCACAAUCCCAUCUCUGACCAUAAAGUGACACUUUUCCCAGUUAAGGACCAAGUGUUUCUCUUCACAGCGAGCCAGAACUUUGCAGAGAUUAUCCAGACAGUCCUUGAAAGAUGAUCCGUAAACUGAGAAAUCAUCCAUAAAGACCUCCAUAAAAUCCUCAAUCAUGUCAGUGAAGAUGGACAUCAUACAUCUCUGAAACGUCGCAGGAGCAUUACAGAGUCCAAAGGGCAUCCUGCGAUAUGCGAAAGUGCCGUAUGGACAUGUAAAGGUGGUCUUCUCCUGAUCGUCUGGGUGGAUAGGGAUCUGGAAAAAUCCUGAGUACCCAUCGAGGAAGCAGUAGUAGGGAUGGCUUGCAAGUCUCUCCAGCAUCUGAUCGAUAAAGGGCAAUGGGAAGUGAUCUUUCCUGGUUGCUGCAUUCAGCUUCCUGUAAUCGAUGCACAUCCUGUGUCCAGUCACUGUGCGCAUCGGAAUCAACUCAUCCUUGUCAUUCUUCACAACAGUAACCCCUCCUUUCUUAGGAACCACGUGCACAGAACUCACCCAAGCACUAUCUGAAAUUGGAUAGAUGAUUCCAGCUUCCAGUAGCUUCAUGAUCUCCUUUUUGACGACGUCUUUCAGGUUAGGGUUCAGCCUGCGCUGGUGCUCGAUCGACGACUUCGACUCAUCCUCCAGGUGGAUUCGGUGCAUGC